rnacentral:pre_miRNA from 1 species
GCUACGUUACCUAUCUGCAUCUGCACCUGCACCGAGAUUCGAAGAGUAAUGAAGAAUCAUAUACGCAGUUGCAGUCAUUUCCAGUUCAUCACUGGACCUGACAAAUUGAAGCAAUGAUGCAAUUCUCAUUCUCGCUUAUCGGUGCAGUGCUUAUGCAGAUAUGUGGCGUUG